rnacentral:rRNA from 1 species
AAUUUUGAACAAUGGGGGCAACCCUGAUCCAGCCAUCCCGCUUGUACGAUGAAGGCCUUCGGGUUGUAAAGCACUUUUGGCAGGGGAGAAAUAGGUCCGGCUAAUAUUCGGUCUGACUGACGGUACCUGCAGACUAAGCACCGGCUAACUACGUGACAGCAGCCGCGGUAAUACGUAGGGUGCAAGCGUUAAUCGGAAUGACUGGGCGUAAAGCGAGCGCAGGCGGUUCGGAAAGAAUGAUGUGAAAUCCCAGGGCUUAACCUUGGAACUGCAUUUUAUACUACCCAGCUAAAAUAUGUCAGAGGAGGGUAGAAUUCCACGUGUAGCAGUGAAAUGCGUAGAGAUGUGGAGGAAUACCGAUGGCGAAGGCAGCGCCCUGGAAUAAUACUGACGCUCAUGCACGAAAGCGUGGGGAACAAACA